GUAGGUGGCAAGCGUUGUCCGGAAUUAUUGGGCGUAAAGCGCGCGCAGGGCGGUCCUUUAAGUCUGAUGUGAAAGCCCACGGCUCAACCGUGGAGGGUCAUUGGAAACUGGGGGACUUGAGUACAGAAGAGGAAAGCGGAAUUCCAAGUGUAGCGGUGAAAUGCGUGGAGAUUUGGAGGAACACCAGUGGCGAAGGCGGCUUUCUGGUCUGUAACUGACGCUGAGGCGCGAAAGCGUGGGGAGCAAACAGGAUUAGAUACCCUGGUAGUCCACGCCGUAAACGAUGAGUGCUAAGUGUUAGGGGGUUUCCGCCCCUUAGUGCUGCAGCUAACGCAUUAAGCACUCCGCCUGGGGAGUACGGCCGCAAGGCUG
rnacentral:rRNA from 1 species